ACUAAAAAGAAAAAAAAGAAACCAAAGCUUUUUUCUCCUGUUGUGCUGCCCUGGUAGUUUAAAAGUUAAUUUAUCUGCAGUCAG